AUCGAACGCUGGCGGCAGGCCUAACACAUGCAAGUCGAACGAGUGGCGGACGGGUGAGUAAUGUCUGGGAAACUGCCUGAUGGAGGGGGAUAACUACUGGAAACGGUAGCUAAUACCGCAUACCAUCAGAUGUGCCCAGGUGGGAUUAGCUUGUUGGUGGGGUAACGGCUCACCAAGGCGACGAUCCCUCGCUGGUCUGAGAGGAUGACCAGCCACACUGGAACUGAGACACGGUCCAGACUCCUACGAGAGGCAGCAGUGGGGAAUAUUGGACAAUGGGCGCAAGCCUGAUGCAGCCAGGCCGCGUGUGUGAAGAAGGCCUUCGGGUUGUAAAGUACUUUCGGCGGGGAGGCGUUACCCGCAGAAGAAGCACCGGCUAACUCCGUGCCAGCAGCCGCGGUAAUUC
rnacentral:rRNA from 1 species